rnacentral:tRNA from 1 species
GUGACCGUGGUCGAGGACGACCUGCGCCGGGUGCGGCUGCCGCGCCGGCCGUUCGCGGUGGUCGCGAACCUGCCGUUCGCGGUCGGUACGGCCGCGC